AUUGAACGCUGGCGGCAUGCUUUACACAUGCAAGUCGAACGGCAGCGCGGGCUUCGGCCUGGCGGCGAGUGGCGAACGGGUGAGUAAUGCAUCGGAACGUGCCCAGUAGUGGGGGCUAGCCCGGCGAAAGCCGGAUUAAUACCGCAUACGACCUGAGGGUGAAAGCGGGGGACCGAAAGGCCUCGCGCUAUUGGAGCGGCCGAUGUCGGAUUAGCUAGUUGGUGGGGUAAAGGCUUACCAAGGCGACGAUCCGUAGCUGGCCUGAGAGGACGACCAGCCACACUGGAACUGAGACACGGCCCAGACUCCUACGGGAGGCAGCAGUGGGGAAUUUUGGACAAUGGGGGCAACCCUGACCCAGCCAUGCCGCGUGCGGGAAGAAGGCCUUCGGGUUGUAAACCGCUUUUGUUCGGGAAGAAAUCCUCUGGGCUAAUACCCCGGGGGGAUGACGGUACCUGAAGAAUAAGCACCGGCUAACUACGUG
rnacentral:rRNA from 1 species